GCAAAUUAUUUACCAAACGCUUGUCCGUAACAUAGAUUUGAACAUUUAUGGGACACCAGCUAUCAAAUUCGGGAAUCAAGCAACUAUUCCCACCGGAAAUACUGCCGCGAAAUAGCGAAUGCUUAACGUUAGUCAAUCAUUCGAGUGUUCACACAUCAUGUACAUAUGCGUGCGUGCACUGCCAGAAACUCCACGCCUGUUAUACAUUCUUCUCAGUAAUGUUCAUCCAACAAGAACAUUCGUGGAGAUUUAUCCGCUUUUAUGCAUACAUAUAUAUGGCAAGCCAAGUCUAUGUCACUGUUAUCAAGCACGUGGCCCGCCCUAUGUACAUCACUAUUAUCUUGCUAUUAUCAAACAUGAUAUCGGUGCUAAGUACAUCACUGUUAUCAACCAUGGUAUUAAUGCUAGGUACAUCACUGUUAUCAACCAUGGUGUUAAUGCUAGGUACAUCACUGUUACCAACCAUGGUGUUACUGCUAGGUACAUCACUGUUAUCAACCAUGGUGUUAAUGCUAGGU